rnacentral:rRNA from 1 species
CGGGGUGCAGCAGGCGCGAAAACUUUACCAUGUCGGGAAACCGUGAUAAGGGGACACCGAGUGCCAGCAUCAUAUGCUGGCUGUCCAGGUGUGUAAAAUACACCUGUUAGCAAGGGCCGGGCAAGACCGGUGCCAGCCGCCGCGGUAACACCGGCGGCCCGAGUGGUGAUCGUGAUUAUUGGGUCUAAAGGGUCCGUAGCCGGUUUGGUCAGUCCUCCGGGAAAUCUGAUAGCUCAACUAUUAGGCUUUCGGGGGAUACUGCCAGACUUGGAACCGGGAGAGGUAAGAGGUACUACAGGGGUAGGAGUGAAAUCUUGUAAUCCCUGUGGGACCACCUGUGGCGAAGGCGUCUUACCAGAACGGGUUCGACGGUGAGGGACGAAAGCUGGGGGCACGAACCGGAUUAGAUACCCGGGUAGUCCCAGCCGUAAACGAUGCUCGCUAGGUGUCAGACAUGGCGCGACCGUGUCUGGUGCCGCAGGGAAGCCGUGAAGCGAGCCACCUGGGAAGUACGGCCGCAAGGCUGAAACUUAAAGGAAUUGGCGGGGGAGCAC